UAAAAACCCUAACCCUAAUUAAUUGUUCUAAAGCAUUUUGGACCAAUUUAGAGUCGGGCCGAAAUAAGUAUGGGUUUAAAUCGGGUUAGGUCUUAUUACAUUAAUAAAAAAUAAAUCCAUGUUUUAUGUUGAAACGACGUUGUUUUGUGAUAUCUUCUUCUCCAAUUCAGCAGAUACGACGAUCUCUUCUUCUUCGAAAUCGUCGACGAUCUCUUCUUCCUCGAAAUCGUCGACGAUCUCUUCUUCCUCAAACUUAGACGUCUCUCUCUGCCAGUCUCUCUCUCUCUCGCUUGUCUCUAUUUCCGCUUCUCUCUCUCUCCGCCUGUCUCUUUCCGCCUCUCUCUCCGCCAGCCUCUCCGCCUCUGUCUCUCGAACUAGAGCAAACCCAGCAAGAUGAAGAUGUGGGGUUGUCAUUCUGUGACAAGGAAGUAAUAGAGUCAACAUCAAAUUGAAAAGAAAGAAGUCAUAUGCGUUGGAAGAGCCCAAGAACAGAAGGAACCUUUAACAAAAUAGAAUUUUUUUACAAUUUUUAUAAUAUCUUAGACGUGGUUUAUUUCAAAGUAUGUGUCGUGGUUUGUUAUUUAUAUAAGAUUCAAACCUUUGAUUUAACGUUAUUUGAUUUAACUUUUUAUAUGAUAACCACUAUGGAAAAUAUUUUACAUAAAAAAAAUGUAAAGGGCUUAAAGGGUUAAUAAGGGUUGAACCCUAUUUUACAUAGUUUAAUGGGUUUUGAAAGGGUUAGUAUUCACUUAGGAUUGAGCUUAAACUAAACAGGGUUGGGUUGGGCUGGACAACCCUAUACAACAUCCUUAAUUCUUGUAGUUACUUUAUGUCCCAGUGGAUUAACUUUUCUAUUCAAACGACAACCGUUAUGGUGGAUACGAUCGUAAUUAUCGUGACACAAACGGGUGAUGGCGAAAACGCUGAUGACGAAAACAACUUACUGAUGAAGGAGAUAGAGAUGUCAGUUGUGUGUAGAGUUUGUGUUAUGUGCGAUUUACUCAUCACAAACAGAAGUGCGUUGUUUUGUAAAGCAUAAAGAUUUUACGUAAUCUGUUUUAUGUUUUUCUGAACUGAGCUUUUUUUUUUUUUGCGUUACUAAUGAGUUCAUUAUCUUAUCAAAGAAGAUGAUUGGAGGUAAAUUAUGAGAACGUAAGAUAAAUAACUGAUAAACCAGAAACUUGAGAUAUAAAAAAAACAUCCAUAACUGAACUUAAAGCAAUUGUCAUAGCAAAACGAAACCAUACGAGGAGGAUCCUUGAUACAACAAAAA